GAUGUCGACUUGGAGGUUGUGGCUUCCGGAGCUAACGCGUUAAGUCGACCGCUGGGGAGUACGGCCGCAAGGUUAAAACUCAAAUGAAUUGACGGGGGCCCGCACAAGCGGUGGAGCAUGUGGUUUAAUUCGAUGCAACGCGAAGAACCUUACCUGGUCUUGACAUCCAGGUGCUGCAUGGCUGUCGUCAGCUCGUGUUGUGAAAUGUUGGGUUAAGUCCCGCAACGAGCGCAACCCUUAUCCUUUGUUGCAACUCAAAGGAGACUGCCAGUGAUAAACUGGAGGAAGGUGGGGAUGACGUCAAGUCAUCAUGGCCCUUACGACCAGGGCUACACACGUGCUACAAUGGCGCAUACAAAGAGAAGCGACCUCGCGAGAGCAAGCGGACCUCAUAAAGUGCGUCGUAGUCCGGAUUGGAGUCUGCAACUCGACUCCAUGAAGUCGGAAUCGCUAGUAAUCGUGGAUCAGAUGCCACGGUGAAUACGUUCCCGGGCCUUGUACACACCGCCCGUCACACCAUGGGAGUGGGUUGCAAAAGAAGUAGGUUACCACUUUGUGAUUCAUGACUGGGGUGAAGUCGUAACAAGGUAACCGA
rnacentral:rRNA from 1 species